rnacentral:misc_RNA from 1 species
GCCGAGAUUUUUUCAGUGAGGGAGAAGACACGCUCCCGUAAUGCCGGCUCUCGCCCUGAUCCUAAAACUCUCUGUUUUGUUGGAUAUUAUUUAUGUGUUAGCUCAAAAAGAUGAACCUACUCGUGUGUAUAUGAAAACAAUAAACGCAGUUGGAGAAAGAGACCCUCCCUGUAGUAAGCCAAAAGUAUUAACCGUUAGUGUAGUACUCACUAAUGGAACAAUAUUCUACAACCUCGAACUACAAAAAAGAGACCAGGAGCCUGAGGGCAAUAAACCGGUGUAUAGCAUCAGGAGAACGGCAGCAAUGCGGCCCUCUCUUGUACGAGAGACUAUUGCUUAUCAGAAAUCCGCAAUGUACACCAGUUCCCUUGAAGCGGAGCUGCCGAUAGAAGUUCAUUGUCUACAAGGAGGGGGAGAGGCCUUGUACUCGUUUAUAACACGGCCUGAUCCAAUUGUAUCAUUUUCUAAUUUUAAUGGAUAGAAUGGGAUGUUUUCCCGGAAUUCUACACGAUACAGCUUACUUCCGGGGUCAGGAGGUUCACACACCAUGACGCUGGUUCCCCGACCCCCGGGUCGUCAGCAUGACUACAGGAUGCUCCCCGGUGAUAACAAUAUUAAAAGAAUCAAAGAGUCUUUCAAUCUACAAAAAAUGAAAUCCCGGUCACGGCGCCAAAUUACCGGAACACACGUCAUAGACUUGUUGGUUGUUAUAGAUCACGGAAUAUAUACCGAUUGGUAUAAUAGGAGCGUCGGAAGCUCCCAGUUUGCCCGGGAACAAUCAGCGAAAUCCAACAUUCAGACGUAUUACUCACACUUCCUUAACGAGGUUGACUUAAGGUACCAAGGAAUGAGAGCGACGGACCUGAACUUCCGCGUGAAUGUGGCUGCCAUAUUGCUCGCGGACAGAAGUGAUUCGUACGUAUGGACAGAGGUAAAAAAGGAGCCCGGAACACCUCGGGAAUUACUGAACGCUGACGAGGCGCUGAAGGACUUCCGGUCUUGGAUUAAUAACAGUAACGACUUGCCGUCCCAUGAUCAUGCCAUACUGUUCACUGGAUAUAAUCUGUACACCUCUGACGGAUUUCAAAAGAAGCUGCAUACAGCAGGUCUGGCGUUCAUUGGCUCCAUGUGUAGGGGAGGGGGAGACAGCGUAUCGGUGGUGGAGGACCACGGGGGGUUCCAGAACAUCGCAACGGCAGCUCACGAAAUAGGUCACAGUCUGGGCUCACUACACGACGGAGAGAACAACGCGUGUAGCCCCAACGAUCGGUUCAUCAUGUCUUCCUCAGAAAACACAAACAACAUGGCGCCGGAAAAACGGACCAAUCAGUGGCACUUCUCCACGUGCUCCAUCAACUACUUCCGGGAAUUCCUUACAAACAGCAUCAGAAACGGUAUGACGUGCCUAACUAGCAGUCUCCAGGUCCCCUCGCAGUCAUUGGUGCCCCCGGGCCAGCUUUACUCGCCUGAUGACCAGUGUAAACUCAUCUGGGGCCCCAAGUCCUACCUCUGUAGGGGAAGUGAGUUUGGAAAUGUCGGGUCCAUUUGUACCGCCAUGUACUGCCGCGAUCCAAGUAGUGGAAAUGACUGUGUUCUUCACACCGCCGCCAGGGGGACUUCGUGCGGAAACAAAAAGUGGUGUGAAGAAGGAGUAUGUACAUUUUCAGAAAAAGCACCGGAAAUUGACGAAUCAUGUGCGUUAGGUGAUCAGCCAGGAAUCGCGUUCAUUAACAAAACUUGUGAUGAGCUGAUUAAUGAACUUCCACAGUACUGCUACAAGGAGAAGGUUCGAGCCCGCUGCUGUUCAUCUUGUUCCAAACACUACUCUUGGGUAGCGGGUUGUGAGUACGGAGACAGAGUGCUGGGCUGUAAGGAGUUUCACUGUAACAUGGUGAACGAUCCCAGCGUCCUGACCGACUGCUGUAACACCUGUUCCUACGGGGCCCUCAUCCCGACCACGCCGUCUCUCGACUUCUCCGUGCGCCCUUUUACCACGGAGGAACCGACACGGCACAGACCGGCUACCUGUGUGGAUUCCGCCGAUAUUAACGGCCAAAGCUGUCAGCGAUACAUCGCAGAGCAGGGACGUCACUCGUGUUACAAUACCAGGCUGUCGGCCUACUGCUGCCAGUCAUGUAGGGCAGUGCUCAGUGUCCAAAUUCCAGACUGCCCGUACGGUGACAGACUCCCGACGUUUUGUUCCAGACAGGUGAAUGUAACAGAGCGAUGGUGUAGGAACUUUCGCCCCCACUGCUGUGACACCUGCACCGAUUCCGCCCCCCGUGUGUUCGGCUCCCCCUUUGUGUUCAUUGCUGUCGCUGUGCUACUGUUUAACCUUUGGCUGACGUGAUAAAAGUUUAAGGAACUUUCAGCUGUUGUCUGUGAUAAAUAAAACAAAGCCAUAUCUAGAGCGGUGACCCAAGACGUUGUAUACGAUUUUUUUUUAUUUUCCUUUCUACAUCAUGUUUUUAUUGUUGACUUGUUCUAUAUUUACAAAUAAAUUUUAAAGUCUGU